rnacentral:lncRNA from 1 species
ACAUAUACAUGGGAAUGUUCACCUGCAAAUAUAUAUGUGUGUCAUUUUGCAGAAACUUCCAUCAAAUAUCUCAGAAGUCCAUUAUUAAAGUGAAUGAUAUGUGUGCUUAGAAAAAGAGAGUUCGCACUUACACAAAGGAGGCAAAGAGUGAACGGAAAGUGGAAAUAUCUACUUAAAAAGGAACCCAUUCCUGAGAGUUGAUGGACUACAUGAGUCAUGCGACUUCUGAGAACCCUCACGCAGCACUUCCUGGCAUGAAGGAAGUGUUGUGACCCAUGCAAGUCCGCUUGACUGUUUUCCAAAGUCAUGAAGAAAAAUCAUUCAAAGUUGAUUGGGUCUACAGUCUGAAUGAGAUCACUACUCUCAAGGUUAGUCAUUUUCACAGGAAGACGCUUUUCAGACAGGUCAUCAGAAUUGGAGGAAGACCCAAGACAGGAAGGCGUAAGAAUCCUGUUUGCCUCCAUGUCUUGCUCCCUUGGGCCUGGAUGCUAAGCUUCAGCCGCUUUUUCUCCAAGCUCAGUCGUGAGGUUUUUCAUCUCUACCCAGGUCUGAGCCACACAAGUCCGCAUUUGGAAUACUUUAGAUACGGUUGUAACAACCUGCUAGUAGCACUGUGUAUGUGUGUUUGCAUAUGUCUGUUUGUCUACCAGUCAUUUCAAAAUCUCUGGCCCUUAUGAAAAACAGGCAAGUUUAUUAAUGCAGAGCUCUCUGAUUGUUUUAUAAUUGGAAACAUUUUGCAAUGAAA